rnacentral:rRNA from 1 species
CCCCCAGCUUGCUGGGGUGAUUAGUGGCGAACGGGUGAGUAACACGUGAGUAACCUGCCCCUGACUCUGGGAUAAGCCCGGGAAACUGGGUCUAAUACUGGAUAUGCACCGUGGACCGCAUGGUCCUUGGUGGAAAGAUUUUUCGGUCAGGGAUGGACUCGCGGCCUAUCAGCUUGUUGGUGAGGUAAUGGCUCACCAAGGCGACGACGGGUAGCCGGCCUGAGAGGGUGACCGGCCACACUGGGACUGAGACACGGCCCAGACUCCUACGGGAGGCAGCAGUGGGGAAUAUUGCACAAUGGGCGAAAGCCUGAUGCAGCGACGCCGCGUGAGGGAUGACGGCCUUCGGGUUGUAAACCUCUUUCAGUAGGGAAGAAGCGAAAGUGACGGUACCUGCAGAAGAAGCGCCGGCUAACUACGUGCCAGCAGCCGCGGUAAUACGUAGGGCGCAAGCGUUAUCCGGAAUUAUUGGGCGUAAAGAGCUCGUAGGCGGUUUGUCGCGUCUGCCGUGAAAGUCCGAGGCUCAACCUCGGAUCUGCGGUGGGUACGGGCAGACUAGAGUGAUGUAGGGGAGACUGGAAUUCCUGGUGUAGCGGUGAAAUGCGCAGAUAUCAGGAGUAACACCGAUGGCGAAGGCAGGUCUCUGGGCAUUAACUGACGCUGAGGAGCGAAAGCAUGGGGAGCGAACAGGAUUAGAUACCCUGGUAGUCCAUGCCGUAAACGUUGGG